rnacentral:tRNA from 2 species
GGGGCUAUAGCUCAGCUAGGUGAGCGCUUCGCUGGCAGCGAAGAGGUCUGCGGUUCGAUCUCGCAUAGCUCCACCA